ACCAAGGAGUCUAGCAUGUGCACGAGUCAGGGGCCGUCCCGAAAGCCCGUGGCACAAUGAAGGUGAGGGCCGGCGCACGCCGGCUGAGGUGGGAUCCCAGGGCGCGUCAAGCAAGAAGCCUCGGGUGCACCACCGGCCCGUUUCACCCACGCUGCCCGGCCAGGAAGGUGGAGUGUGAGCGUCCAUGCUAGGACCCGAAAGAUGGUGAACUAUGCCUGGGCAGGGCGAAGCCAGAGGAAACUCUGGUGG
rnacentral:ncRNA from 1 species